CCUACGGGAGGCAGCAGUGAGGAAUAUUGGUCAAUGGACGAGAGUCUGAACCAGCCAAGUAGCGUGAAGGAUGACUGCCCUAUGGGUUGUAAACUUCUUUUAUAUGGGAAUAAAAUGUUCCACGUGUGGGAUUUUGUAUGUACCAUAUGAAUAAGGAUCGGCUAACUCCGUGCCAGCAGCCGCGGUAAUACGGAGGAUCCGAGCGUUAUCCGGAUUUAUUGGGUUUAAAGGGAGCGUAGGUGGAUUGUUAAGUCAGUUGUGAAAGUUUGCGGCUCAACCGUAAAAUUGCAGUUGAAACUGGCAGUCUUGAUUACAGUAGAGGUGGGCGGAAUUCGUGGUGUAGCGGUGAAAUGCUUAGAUAUCACGAAGAACUCCGAUUGCGAAGGCAGUUCACUGGACUGCAACUGACACUGAGGCUCGAAAGUGUGGGUAUCAAACAGGAUUAGAGACCCGAGUAGUC
rnacentral:rRNA from 1 species